rnacentral:rRNA from 1 species
UAAGUGGAUUAGCGGCGGACGGGUGAGUAACACGUGAGUAACCUGCCUUAGACAUUGGGAUAGCCUCGGGAAACCGGGAUUAAUACCAAAUAAAAUCAUAUUGACACAUGUCAUAACGAUCAAAACUCCGGUGGUCUAAGAUGGACUCGCGUCCCAUUAGCUAGUUGGUAGAGUAAAAGCCUACCAAGGCGACGAUGGGUAGCCGGCCUGAGAGGGUGAACGGCCACAUUGGAACUGAGAAACGGUCCAA